rnacentral:rRNA from 1 species
AUGUCUCCCAGCUGCUGGUUCUUGGCCUUUCUCCUGGUGUGGUGUCUGCCAUUGAUGCUCGUGAUGGCCGAGGAGCAGCAGGGUGGAGACUGCUCGGCCAUGAAGUGCGGCAACGUGAACAUCUCCGAUCCGUUCUGGCUCACGGACAAAGUUACCGGGAAAUCAUGUGGUCGUCCUCCCUACCAGGACUUCGAUGUCGCUUGUAUUAACCACACUUCUCCAACUCUACGGAGCUCUAUACCCUUCAACAUGGGCUAUAAAAUCCUCAACAUCUCCUAUGAGCAACGCAGCUUCUACGCGGUUGAUCUGGGCAAGCUCAACGUGCUGCAGGCCCGCAACAGCUGCCAUGAACCGUUCUACAACACCUCAACCAAGCUCAACCGUCCGUUCAAGAUCAGCCCCGUCAACCUGAACCUCAUCCUGUACAACUGCACGGAGAAGGACGAAGCAGCGGCCGCAGCACGUCGGAACAGAGAGCUGGCGCCGACGAACGUGAGCUGCGGGAACCUAUGGGCGGUGUUUGCCCGCGCGGGAGUACCCCACGACGGCACCGGGAACUACAACAAUUACACUCUGGAUGGCUGCCGCGCCGUCGUGGUGCCGGUGCCGGCCUCGUCGGCGGGGGCGAACGCGAGCGACUACAAGCAGCUCUUCAACGACGGCUUCCUCCUGACAUGGGAUGUCCCGCUCCCGCAUCAUCCCUCAAUCUUUCCACGUAAGUUUACUCGUCAAAUCAUCUUUUAA